AGUGAACGCUGGCGGUAGGCCUAACACAUGCAAGUCGAACGGCAGCACAGUAAGAGCUUGCUCUUACGGGUGGCGAGUGGCGGACGGGUGAGGAAUACAUCGGAAUCUACUUUUUCGUGGGGGAUAACGUAGGGAAACUUACGCUAAUACCGCAUACGACCUACGGGUGAAAGCAGGGGAUCUUCGGACCUUGCGCGAUUGAAUGAGCCGAUGUCGGAUUAGCUAGUUGGCGGGGUAAAGGCCCACCAAGGCGACGAUCCGUAGCUGGUCUGAGAGGAUGAUCAGCCACACUGGAACUGAGACACGGUCCAGGCUCCUACGGGAGGCAGCAGUGGGGAAUAUUGGACAAUGGGCGCAAGCCUGAUCCAGCCAUACCGCGUGGGUGAAGAAGGCCUUCGGGUUGUAAAGCCCUUUUGUUGGGAAAGAAAAGCAGCAGGUUAAAACCCCGCUGUUCUGACGGUACCCAAAGAAUAAGCACCGGCUAACUUCGUG
rnacentral:rRNA from 1 species